rnacentral:rRNA from 1 species
UACAGAGGGGGCAAGCGUUGUUCGGAAUUACUGGGCGUAAAGGGCGCGUAGGCGGCCUGUUAAGUCGAACGUGAAAUCCCCGGGCUCAACCCGGGAACUGCGUCCGAUACUGGCAGGCUUGAAUCCGGGAGAGGGAUGCGGAAUUCCAGGUGUAGCGGUGAAAUGCGUAGAUAUCUGGAGGAACACCGGUGGCGAAGGCGGCAUCCUGGACCAAAACUGACGCUGAAUAGCGAAAGCCAGGGGAGCAAACGGG